UUAAAGGUUAAAAGGCUGACGUAACGUGCAAUAAAUACAUGCAUGCACUUCUAUCGAUUUAUUAUAGCUUAAUAACCACUUUAAAAAUUAAUUUUGCUCGUUUAUAUGCUCAAAUACGUCCGAUAUUGUCAUAUAUAGGUAGAUCAUACGCCUUCAAAUACGCCCAUAUCCUCCUCGUUUGGACCCUCGAGGCUUUGCCAUAGCUGCAGGGAUCGUAAUUGCUCGAGGAGGGAUUCGCUACACCCUCUCGUGGUAAGGGGCUCUAUCCCGCGCAAUGGGCUAAACGUAACCAUGAUUUACGACUUUGUGGUCGAUAAGGACCGCUAUGAAUGCGAGAACAUUGGCGGUAUAAUGUUUUCCAGGCUGAUGGUACUUCACUACGGAAAACCAUUUAUCGCCCUUGUAUCUACAAGAUUCUGUACAAGAACAUAUAAGAGCUUACAGAAACUUGAACUGAGGAAACAUCAGUAUAUAGAAUUUAUCGAGAGAGCGAAGUUGCUUCACUGGCAUAAGAUAUUACAAAAACAAUAUUGUAUGUACACAUACAUAUUUCAAUAUUGUAUUUUCACACAUGCAUCCGAGCGAGCUCAGUAUAUGUUGGAGCCUUGUUACACGCUUUAUUUCA